rnacentral:rRNA from 1 species
UACAGGGGGUGCAAACGUUGCUCGGAAUCAUUGGGCGUAAAGCGCACGUAGGCGGUUCGUUAUGUCGGAUGUGAAAGCCCUUGGCUUAACCGAGGAAGUGCAUCCGAAACUGGCGAGCUAGAGUACGAAAGAGGAUCGCGGAAUUCCCGGUGUAGAGGUGAAAUUCGUAGAUAUCGGAAGGAACACCUGUGGCGAAAGCGGCUCACUGGACCAUUACUGACGCUGAGGCACGAAAGCGUGGGGAGCAAACGGG